CGCCUGGAACUUAGACUCAACCU
rnacentral:miRNA from 1 species